UACGUAGGGUGCAAGCGUUGUCCGGAAUUAUUGGGCGUAAAGAGCUCGUAGGCGGCUUGUCACGUCGACUGUGAAAACCCGGGGCUCAACUCCGGGCCUGCAGUCGAUACGGGCUGGCUUGAGUGCGGUAGGGGAGACUGGAAUUCCUGGUGUAGCGGUGGAAUGCGCAGAUAUCAGGAGGAACACCGAUGGCGAAGGCAGGUCUCUGGGCCACUACUGACGCUGAGAAGCGAAAGCAUGGGGAGCGAACAGG
rnacentral:rRNA from 1 species